rnacentral:rRNA from 1 species
UACGGAGGGUGCAAGCGUUAAUCGGAAUUACUGGGCGUAAAGAGUGCGUAGGUGGUUUAGUGUGUUAGAUGUGAAAUCCAUGGGCUUAACCUGUGAAUUGCAUUUAAAACUGCUGAGCUAGAGUGUUGUAGAGGGUGGCGGAAUUUCCAGUGUAGCGGUGAAAUGCGUAGAGAUCGGAGGAACACCAGUGGCGAAGGCGACUCCUGGACCAAGCACUGACACUGAGGCACGAAAGCGUGGGGAGCAACAGG